rnacentral:misc_RNA from 1 species
CAACCCUCGGUCACCACCGGUUUUGAGCCAGCCGGGUCCUCGGGCCCGACCGGCUUUAAAGUUGUAAGCUCUGCUGCCCGCCCGGCACGAUCAGAACAUAGUAAAACCUACUUGCUCACGGUCGAGUCGAAGCGGUGCGGCCUGGAUAAAACCUACCCAACUCUAAGGU